AGAACGAUUUGAUAGCUGUCUUGCACACACAUCAYGGUAAAAUAUUCAUCAGUACAAAUAAUAUGCUGSUGACACUAAAGGACAAAAAGACCCUUUGAAGCUUUAUAGGGAUAAAACUCACCUUUAAAUCAACAAACAAUGAAAUCCAUCUUGUUGCUUCUCCGCUUUUUAAAUUGCUAAAGCCUUACAAGAUUUACAACAUCAAGACCACUGUUUAAUUGGGGCGAUAACCUUAUCCACAGCCACCUAAGGUGAACAAAGCGAUACAAGGAUCCUAAAUACUAAUUUGACCAACUAAUAAGUGCAAAGAUACAUGUUUUGCUUAAUGGCCCAACAAGUCCUUCCCAGUACUUAAAUGCUAUCUUAAUGAGCUUUAAAUUAAUUUACCAG
rnacentral:rRNA from 1 species